rnacentral:rRNA from 1 species
AUGGUUCGAAAAUCGCUAUUCCACCGUCGUAAUAACAAGAAAUUUAGUUCACUACUUGUGAAACGUUUAAUUAUUCGAAUGUAUCAGCAGAAUUUUUUGGAUAACUCGGUUAAUCAUCCUAACCAAGAUCGAUUAUUGGAUUACAAAAAUUAUUAG